CGCGUCCUUUCUCCCCAGUCCAGAUUCCAUCCGCAACAUGCCGGACGUCGAGGACAGAAUGCCCCUGACGGACCCGGGCGACGCCGAGUGCAGGUCCUGCAGGCCCGAGACCUCCGCCCCGACCCGGGACGGCGCGAGCGGCGUGGAGGACGCCCCCGCCUGUCUGAUAGACACGGUUGAUGAUGUUUCUAAGCUGAGCAACAAGGUUGGAAAGAAUCGUGGUUUGCACAUGGAAGAAAAGGUUUCGCCUCCAAGCAGUUUGGAAGAUAAGGUCAAGGAGACCAUGCACAAUGCCUUUUGGAACCAUCUCAAAGAGCAAUUGUCAGCUACUCCCCCAGACUUCAGCUGUGCUCUUGAACUUCUGAAAGAAAUUAAAGAGAUCUUGCUCUCACUGCUGUUACCACGCCAGAGCCGCCUAAGAAGUGAGAUUGAAGAAGCACUGGAUACAGAGCUCCUCAAUCAGAAAGCAGAACAUGGAGCCCUGAAUGUCCCUCAUCUCUCUAAGUACAUUCUCAACAUGAUGACUUUGCUGUGCGCACCAGUUCGAGACGAAGCAGUACAGAAUCUAGAGAACAUUACGGACCCUGUUCGGUUGCUGAGAGGGAUCUUCCAGGUUCUGGGGCUGAUGAAAAUGGACAUGGUGAACUACACUAUCCAGAGCCUUCAGCCUCACCUGCAGGAACAUUCCAUCCAGCACGAACGGGCUACGUUCCAGGAACUCCUCAAUAAACAGCCAAGUCUCCUAGAUCACACCACCAAGUGGCUGACCCAAGCAGCAGCAGACCUCACCAUGCCACUCCCGACUUGCCCCGACACUUUGGACUCCACCAGUAUGGCCUCCUCCUCCCCGAACGAGGCAGUCAGCAGCCCAGAGCCCCUUAGCCCUACAAUGGUGCUAUCGCAGGGUUUCCUGAACCUCCUUCUCUGGGACCCGGAAAAUGAAGAGUUCCCUGAGACACUGCUGAUGGACAGGACCCGGCUGCAGGAGCUGGAGUCUCAGUUGCACCAGUUGACCAUCCUGGCCUCAGUUCUGCUAGUGGCCAGUAGUUUCUCAGGCAGUGUUUUGUUUGGCUCACCUCAGUUUGUGGAUAAGCUGAAACAUAUAACCAAAGACCUGAUGGAGGAGUUUAAGUCCAGGCCUGAGGAGGCUCUGCAGACUGUGAGUGAACAGGUGUCUCAGGAAAUCCAUCAAAGCCUCAAGAACAUGGGCCUUGCUGCUCUGAGCAGUGACAACACAGCAUCUCUGAUAGGACAGCUCCAGAACAUUGCCAAGAAGGAAAAUUGUGUCCGCAGUGUCAUUGUCCAAGACAUGACAUAGCCCUCACCUACCAGCAACAAGAAACUGAUGCUGAAUCAGCUAGAGGACAUGUUCCUGCAGCAAGGACUCAUCCCUGUUGGAAUGGACGGCAUGAACCUGACCUUGCUCUUAACCUCAGCCAUCCAAAGCAUCAGUCUAAGAUCCUUCAUGUUAGAUACUCACUCAAGAUCUACUGGUGGAAGCUUAAGUCAUCUUUUGACUAGUCAGGAAUUUACUAGCCCACUAGUCUGUGACCUUUGCUUUGUCCUUGGGAGCUAGAUAGCAUCCCCCUUCUGGAGCAACACAAAUUUCCUUAUCUCCAGUUGUUUGCUCACUGUCUUAUCCUGCUCAUAGAUCAGCGGAUCCACCUGUUUCUCAAAUGCUGUUUGGUCCUCGGUGUGCAGAGAUCUCUCUUAGACCUCCCUGGAGGCCUCACUGUCAUCGAAGCAGAACUGGCGGAACUAGGCCAAAAGUUUGUCAGCCUAACGCAUCACAAUCAGAAAGUGUUUGGCCCCUACUACACAGAGAUCCUAAAAACCCUCGUCCCUCCAGCCCAGGCCCUGGACACAGAGGUGGAGUCCAUCUGAAUGCACCAGCUCAAAGCCCUGGCCCCUGGAUCCCAGGAGAGAAGCUCAUCGUUCUCUGGGGUGGCUGACCAGUGACCGUCAGAGCAGGAAGCCCUCCUCCCUCCUGCAGCUGGCACACCAGGGCUGUAGCAAGCAGCGUGUAAAUACCCGCUGGCCCAAACUCCCUUACUAAUAAACUUCUGAACCCCAGGCAAACCUCCA